CUGCUGCCUCCCGUAGGAGUCUGGUCCGUGUCUCAGUACCAGUGUGGGGGACCUUCCUCUCAGAACCCCUACGCAUCGUCGUCUUGGUGGUCCGUUACACCGCCAACUAACUAAUGCGACGCAUGCCCAUCCGCCACCGGAAUUAACCUUUGGCACCAACAGGAUGUCCCGUCGAUGCAUUAUGCCGUAUUAGACGGAAUUUCUCCCGAUUAUCCGGCUGUGGCAGGCAGGUUGCAUACGUGUUACUCACCCGUGCG
rnacentral:rRNA from 1 species